rnacentral:rRNA from 1 species
AUGGAGUACUGGCUCGAGCCGGACGAGCUCGCGGCCCUGCGCCGGGAGAUCCGCGUCGACCCGUACUGGGUGCCGCCAGGGUGGAAACGCGGAGACCCCGUGUCCGCGGAUGGCUACGCGCUCAAGGCAAAGAUGCGGGUGGAGGAGCUCAGCAAGGAGCUCGCCGGAUUAAAAAGCAAGCAGCAGCAGACGGAUUUGUGCAAGUAG